rnacentral:rRNA from 1 species
GAACAACUCUCAGCAACGGAUAUCUUGGCUCUUGCAACGAUGAAGAACGCAGCGAAAUGCGAUACGUAGUGUGAAUUGCAGAAUUCCGCGAAUCAUCGA